rnacentral:rRNA from 1 species
AAACCGUUCAGGGGUAAACCUAAGAAACCCAAAAGUUCGAAUGGGGAGAUUCAUCGUCGGUGGCGUUGGCUUUGCGGUGGUUGGCGAUAUUCGCGUGGGAACUUCGGUUCUCUGCGAUACGUCGCCACUGUGCUUAUGUCCGAUGCCGCAGUCGUGCACUUCUCUCCUAGUAGGACGUCGCGACCCGCUGGGCGUUUGAUUACGGGCUGGGUGGUUGACCGUCUCGUCGCUUCGGCGUCGUGACAGACCCCCAGCGUUUCUCACCUGUCAAACUGCUCGGCGGUAUUUUGCGAUGGUAUUCGGCCGCAAUCUUUGAAUUUCGAACGCACUGCGUCAUUGGCUCGUCGCAAGCGCGCGUCAGUGUCCCGUGUGUGACGGAGAAAGUGCCGUCCCCGGGCCUGACCAGCUGUUAGCCGACGAUGUCCUCUGACCGGCCGCUUACCUGUUUGCGACGCUAUUGCAUUGGGUACUCUUAGGACCCGUCUUGAAACACGGACCAAGGAGUCUAACAUGUACGCGAGUCAUUGGGAUGACAAAACCUAAAGGCGAAAUGAAAGUGAAUGUCGGCCUUGCGUCGACAGAGGGAGGAUGGGCUGCGCAAAGCGGCUUCGCACUCCCGGGGCGUCUCGUUCUCAUUGCGAGAAGAGGCGCACCCAGAGCGUACACGUUGGGACCCGAAAGAUGGUGAACUAUGCCUGGUCAGGACGAAGUCAGGGGAAACCCUGAUGGAGGUCCGUAGCGAUUCUGACGUGCAAAUCGAUCGUCGGAACUGGGUAUAGGGGCGAAAGACUAAUCGAACCAUCUAGUAGCUGGUUCCCUCCGAAGUUUCCCUCAGGAUAGCUGGCACUCGUUAAUAUCCUAUCGAACGAGUCUCAUCUGGUAAAGCGAAUGAUUAGAGGCCUUGGGGCCGAAACGACCUCAACCUAUUCUCAAAC